CCCUUAGAUGUUCUGGGCCGCACGCGCGCUACACUGAUACGUUCAACAAGUUUAGAACCUUGACUGAGAGGUCUGGGUAAUCUUUUGAAUGCGUAUCGUGUUAGGGAUAGAUUAUUGCAAUUAUUAAUCUUGAACGAGGAAUUCCUAGUAAACGCAAGUCAUCAGCUUGCAUUGAUUACGUCCCUGCCCUUUGUACACACCGCCCGUCGCUCCUACCGAUGAGUCGUCCGGUGAAGUUCGUAGACCUCGUGAUCGCGGAUCACUGGGGGAAGCAAAAUGAACCUCGCGGUUUAGAGGAAGGAGAAGUCGUAACA
rnacentral:rRNA from 1 species